rnacentral:tRNA from 1 species
GUCAGUGUGGCGUAGUGAUUUGUGUGUUGGACUAUGACUCUAGAGAUCAGGGUUUGAUUCCCAGCUUGGCCA